GAGUUUGAUCCUGGCUCAGAUUGAACGCUGGCGGCAUGCCUAACACAUGCAAGUCGAACGGCAGCGCGGGGGCAACCCUGGCGGCGAGUGGCGGACGGGUGAGGGAACACGAUAGGAAAUCUACCUCAACGUGGGGGAUAACGUAGGGAAACUUACGCUAAUACCGCAUACGACCGAGAGGGGAAAGCGGUCGGACCGCAAGGCGUCGCGCGGUGAGAUGAGCCUAUGUCCGAUUAGCUAGUUGGCGGGGUAAGAGCCCACCAAGGCGACGAUCGGUAGCUGGUCUGAGAGGAUGAUCAGCCACACUGGGACUGAGACACGGCCCAGACUCCUACGGGAGGCCAGCAGUGGGGAAUA
rnacentral:rRNA from 1 species